rnacentral:lncRNA from 1 species
AUAUGUCGGAGACUGUCAAUAGUACGGACACUAAACGUCACGCAAGCGCGCCCUCUGGUGGCGUUUCCGGAGAAACAACAUUUUGGCGCGCUUGGCAGAGUAGUGGUGGUCGGCGUGGCGUCCGCGGAGCUCAGUCUUGGUCGAGGCGUCGUGCUGCGCACAUCUCGAUACUGCCUUUCGUUACGUGUAGUGUACCUAGUGUUAUUGCCUAGUGUUGUAGUACUGUUGUAGAUCCAUAUUGUAAAGUGUGUAAAGUGUCUUUUGAAAUUAAAGUGUAAAGGUUCUUCUAACCUAACAGACAGACAUGUGUUGCUGGGGAGUUUGUUCCGCCACUUCUUCUCCCCAAGCCAAAACACAUAGGAAGUGGCGAAGGGCGGGCGUUUUGGGGGCUGUCUUUUGUUCUGACUAAUUUGAAUAAACGUUUGACUUUUGAGUGUGAGUGUUUGAGUUUCUUUGAGUUAUCUCUUUGCUUCAUUACCCUAACUGAUGUCGGACGAUAGUGCCAUCCUUGAUGUUCGCCUCCGACAUCAGAAGUGGGAUGUAAUCCGAAUGCCCACAUGUGUUAAGGGUUGCCAUGCCCACGUGUUCAAAAAGUGAAAAAGUGAUGUGCUCGUUUGGAGUGAUGUGUGGCGGCCGAUGGUGCAUUAGUUUCGAGAGAAUUCGCCACGUGAAAACAAACUUUCUGGAUGCAAGAAAAUAGGGGAACAUCAGAAUUUUGAUAUGGAGGUUAUAGUAACCACGGUUAUGGUAAUGGUAUCGAUUUCCAUUGUGACAUGUCAAAUUAGUUAUUGAAGGUACGCUAGAAAAUUAACCGAUUUAUCUUCUCAUUUUCAUGUUUCAACAAUGACGGUGAUUAUUGUGCAAUCUGGCGACAAAAUUACUGCGGAGCAUCCCAGCUGCCAGGAGCCUGACGUGUCAUCGUAAGGUCGGAGUGUUGGUGCUCGUGCAUCUACGUGGCUUCACGUCCGCGAAAGCCUUGCUGUACUGCGCGCCAUAGCGAUGUGCGCAUCGUCAUGCGCGUUGAGAUAACAUCUAAGGUGAACCGAGCCUGGAGAACAGGACGAGGUCCACUAGUCAAGCGGCGGGCGAGGUGCGCUGCAGAUGCUGUUUGGAGCGUCAUCCUCCCCCGGAUUUGUCGUGGAGGCCGUAUGAGUUGCGGCAGGCCAGGACAUCGCAUGUCAUCGCACAAGGUGAAAGCAUUCUAUUGCACUGAAAAUGUUUAGAUUGAUCAGACAAACUUGACAAUGACUGGCCUGUGUGGCAGCUAGGAGCCUGUGUGGCAGCUAGGAGCCUGUGUGGCAGCUAGGAGCCUGUGUGGCAGCUAGGAGCCUGUGUGGCAGCUAGGAGCCUGUGUGGCAGCUAGGAGCCUGUGUGGCAGCUAGGAGCCUGUGUGGCAGCUAGGAGCCUGUGUGGCAGCUAGGAGCCUGUGUGGCAGCUAGGAGCCUGUGUGGCAGCUAGGAGCCUGUGUGGCAGUUGGUAGCCUGUGUGGCAUUCAAGUGUGAGCGAUAUUAAUAAUGUGAGCGUAAUUAUGACCCUAUGUGGUUCUGUGGUUCAGAUAGAUCUGUGUGACUUUUGUUCAGUGUGCUACAUAGUGGUCAGGAGUGGCCGAGGUUGUACUGUGCAUACUGUGCUGUGUUUGUGUUGUUGCAGAUUAACCCACGAGGACGUGGGUCUACGCAGGAUGGCCGUGUCGGAGACUGUCAAUAGUACGGACACUAAACGUCACGCAAGCGCGCCCUCUGGUGGCGUUUCCGGAGAAACAACAUUUUGGCGCGCUUGGCAGAGUAGUGGUGGUCGGCGUGGCGUCCGCGGAGCUCAGUCUUGGUCGAGGCGUCGUGCUGCGCACAUCUCGAUACUGCCUUUCGUUACGUGUAGUGUACCUAGUGUUAUUGCCUAGUGUUGUAGUACUGUUGUAGAUCCAUAUUGUAAAGUGUGUAAAGUGUCUUUUGAAAUUAAAGUGUAAAGGUUCUUCUAACCUAACAGACAGACAUGUGUUGCUGGGGAGUUUGUUCCGCCACUUCUUCUCCCCAAGCCAAAACACAUAGGAAGUGGCGAAGGGCGGGCGUUUUGGGGGCUGUCUUUUGUUCUGACUAAUUUGAAUAAACGUUUGACUUUUGAGUGUGA